GAUGAACGCUGGCGGCGUGCCUAAUACAUGCAAGUCGAGCGAACGGACGAGAAGCUUGCUUCUCUGAUGUUAGCGGCGGACGGGUGAGUAACACGUGGAUAACCUACCUAUAAGACUGGGAUAACUUCGGGAAACCGGAGCUAAUACCGGAUAAUAUUUUGAACCGCAUGGUUCAAAAGUGAAAGACGGUCUUGCUGUCACUUAUAGAUGGAUCCUCGCUGCAUUAGCUAGUUGGUAAGGUAACGGCUUACCAAGGCAACGAUGCAUAGCCGACCUGAGAGGGUGAUCGGCCACACUGGAACUGAGAAACGGUACAGAAGCCUACGGGAGGCAGCAGUAGGGAAUCUUACGCAAUGGGCGAAAGCCUGACGGAGCAACGCCGCGUGAGUGAUGAAGGUCUUCGGAUCGUAAAACGCUGUUAUUAGGGAAGAACAUAUGUGUAAGUAACUGUGCACAUCUUGACGGUACCUAAUCAGAAAGCCACGGCUAACUACGUG
rnacentral:rRNA from 1 species